AAAGGAGCCACUCCUAGUUGAAGACUGGACCGUGGGAAUCCGGGAGAAUCCCUCCCUCAGACCCAGAACCGAAGAUUCAGAGCAAGAACGGGGGACCAGCUGGAACUGAGAGCUGUGUGACCUUGACCAAGUCACUUCCCUUCCCUGGAUCUUAAUUAUCUCAGCUGCAAGAAAAAGAAAAAAAAAAAAAGAGUCCAGGAGUAGAUCUCCCGCAAGUAUAUCUCUUCUUUCCCCAAACACCUCUGCAGCUCCAGUGGGUCCUAGGAACCCUGGCUCAACCCAACCCUCCCAGCCCCCUUAAAGUACUCUUCUCCUCAAAGGGCAAGACUUUUGGAUCUUCCAGUAGGGGCGCCCAGGAGCACCCCUCCGUGCUCAAAGACUCACACUCAAGCUUCUCUCUCCCGAACAAGUCUGGAGAAGCCAGGAAAGCUCUUUUUCAUGUUCCAGCUGGACAGGAUCUGAAUCACCCUCCAUCUGAGAGACCCCCAGUCCCCAAUACAGUCAUGACCCCCCUCCCAGCCUGCAGCUCUGUUUGGGAGGAUCCUGUCCCCAUCGC
rnacentral:lncRNA from 1 species